rnacentral:rRNA from 1 species
CCUACGGUGGGCAGCAGUGGGGAAUAUUGCACAAUGGGGGAAACCCUGAUGCAGCGACGCCGCGUGCGUGAAGAAGUAUUUCGGUAUGUACAGCUCUAUCAGCAGGGAAGAAAAUGACGGUACCUGGUUAAGAAGCCCCGGCUAACUACGUGACAGCAGCCGCAGUGAUACGUAGGGGGCAAGCGUUGUCCGGAUUUACUGGGUGUAAAGGGAGCGUAGACGGCAGCGAAAGUCUGAAGUGAAAUGCCGGGGCUUAACCCCGGAACUGCUUUGGAAACUGUGCAGCUAGAGUGCAGGAGAGGUAAGUGGAAUUCCUAGUGUAGCGGUGAUAUGCGUAGAUAUUAGGAGGAACACCGGUGGCGAAGGCGGCUUACUGGACUGUAACUGACGUUGAGGCUCGAAAGCGUGGGGAGCAAACAGGAUUAGAUACCCGAGUAGUC